GAGAUGAGCCUGCGUUAGAUUAGCUAGUUGGUAGGGUAAAGGCCUACCAAGGCGACGAUCUAUAGCUGGUCUGAGAGGACGAUCAGCCACACUGGGACUGAGACACGGCCCAGACUCCUACGGGAGGCAGCAGUGGGGAAUAUUGGACAAUGGGCGCAAGCCUGAUCCAGCAAUACCGCGUGUGUGAAGAAGGCCUUAGGGUUGUAAAGCACUUUCAAUUGGGAGGAAAACCUGCCGGUCAAUACCCGGUAGCUUGACAUUACCUUUAGAAGAAGCACCGGCUAACUCCGUGCCAGCAGCCGCGGUAAUACGGAGGGUGCGAGCGUUAAUCGGAAUUACUGGGCGUAAAGCGUGCGUAGGCGGUUCGUUAAGUCAGAUGUGAAAGCCCUGGGCUCAACCUGGGAACGGCAUUUGAAACUGGCGGACUAGAGUUUAGUAGAGGGGAGUGGAAUUUCAGGUGUAGCGGUGAAAUGCGUAGAUAUCUGAAGGAACACCAGUGGCGAAGGCGACUCCCUGGACUAGAACUGACGCUGAGGUACGAAAGCGUGGGUAGCAAACAGGAUUAGAUACCCUGGUAGUCCACGCCGUAAACGAUGUCGACUAGCCGUUGGUCCUAUUUACAGGAUUAGUGGCGCAGCUAACGCAUUAAGUCGACCGCCUGGGGAGUACGGCCGCAAGGUUAAAACUCAAAUGAAUUGACGG
rnacentral:rRNA from 1 species